CCUACGGGGGGCUGCAGUGAGGAAUAUUGGUCAAUGGACGAGAGUCUGAACCAGCCAAGUAGCGUGAAGGAUGACUGCCCUAUGGGUUGUAAACCUCUUUUAUAAAGGAAUAAAACGAGGCACGUGUGCCGCUUUGCAUGUACUCUAUGAAUAAGGAUCGGCUAACUCCGUGCCAGCAGCCGCGGUAAUACGGAGGAUGCGAGCGUUAUCCGGAUUUAUUGGGUUUAAAGGGGGCGUAGAUGGGUUGUUAAGUCAGUUGUGAAAGUUUGCGGCUCAACCGUAAAAUUGCAAUUGAUACUGGCAGUCUUGAGUACAGUUGAGGUAGGCGGAAUUCGUGGUGUAGCGGUGAAAUGCUUAGAUAUCACGCAGAACUCCGAUUGCGAAGGCAGCUUACUAAACUAUAACUGACACUGAAGCACGAAAGCGUGGGGAUCGAACAGGAUUAGAUACCCCAGUAGUC
rnacentral:rRNA from 1 species